rnacentral:rRNA from 1 species
AGAGUUUGAUCCUGGCUCAGGACGAACGCUGGCGGCGUGCCUAAUACAUGCAAGUCGAGCGGACAGAUGGGAGCUUGCUCCCUGAUGUUAGCGGCGGACGGGUGAGUAACACGUGGGUAACCUGCCUGUAAGACUGGGAUAACUCCGGGAAACCGGGGCUAAUACCGGAUGGUUGUUUGAACCGCAUGGUUCAAACAUAAAAGGUGGCUUCGGCUACCACUUACAGAUGGACCCGCGGCGCAUUAGCUAGUUGGUGGGGUAACGGCUCACCAAGGCAACGAUGCGUAGCCGACCUGAGAGGGUGAUCGGCCACACUGGGACUGAGACACGGCCCAGACUCCUACGGGAGGCAGCAGUAGGGAAUCUUCCGCAAUGGACGAAAGUCUGACGGAGCAACGCCGCGUGAGUGAUGAAGGUUUUCGGAUCGUAAAGCUCUGUUGUUAGGGAAGAACAAGUACCGUUCGAAUAGGGCGGUACCUUGACGGUACCUAACCAGAAAGCCACGGCUAACUACGUGCCAGCAGCCGCGGUAAUACGUAGGUGGCAAGCGUUGUCCGGAAUUAUUGGGCGUAAAGGGCUCGCAGGCGGUUUCUUAAGUCUGAUGUGAAAGCCCCCGGCUCAACCGGGGAGGGUCAUUGGAAACUGGGGAACUUGAGUGCAGAAGAGGAGAGUGGAAUUCCACGUGUAGCGGUGAAAUGCGUAGAGAUGUGGAGGAACACCAGUGGCGAAGGCGACUCUCUGGUCUGUAACUGACGCUGAGGAGCGAAAGCGUGGGGAGCGAACAGGAUUAGAUACCCUGGUAGUCCACGCCGUAAACGAUGAGUGCUAAGUGUUAGGGGGUUUCCGCCCCUUAGUGCUGCAGCUAACGCAUUAAGCACUCCGCCUGGGGAGUACGGUCGCAAGACUGAAACUCAAAGGAAUUGACGGGGGCCCGCACAAGCGGUGGAGCAUGUGGUCUAAUUCGAAGCAACGCGAAGAACCUUACCAGGUCUUGACAUCCUCUGACAAUCCUAGAGAUAGGACGUCCCCUUCGGGGGCAGAGUGACAGGUGGUGCAUGGUUGUCGUCAGCUCGUGUCGUGAGAUGUUGGGUUAAGUCCCGCAACGAGCGCAACCCUUGAUCUUAGUUGCCAGCAUUCAGUUGGGCACUCUAAGGUGACUGCCGGUGACAAACCGGAGGAAGGUGGGGAUGACGUCAAAUCAUCAUGCCCCUUAUGACCUGGGCUACACACGUGCUACAAUGGACAGAACAAAGGGCAGCGAAACCGCGAGGUUAAGCCAAUCCCACAAAUCUGUUCUCAGUUCGGAUCGCAGUCUGCAACUCGACUGCGUGAAGCUGGAAUCGCUAGUAAUCGCGGAUCAGCAUGCCGCGGUGAAUACGUUCCCGGGCCUUGUACACACCGCCCGUCACACCACGAGAGUUUGUAACACCCGAAGUCGGUGAGGUAACCUUUUAGGAGCCAGCCGCCGAAGGUGGGACAGAUGAUUGGGGUGAAGUCGUAACAAGGUA